GGACCGAACUGCGGCCUCGAGCCCCGCCCUCCCCUCCCCCAACGCCGACCGCCUCCCUAAGGGGACGCGGCCGGAGAAGGAAAAAAGUUGCAGGCCCGAACUCUGCCCCCUGCUGGCCGUCAGCGGGAUUGCAGAGGCUCCUUCUUGAGUAGCUGGGACAACAGUCCUAGGCCACCAGGCUCAAGCCCCACUCCACAUCUAUUGGAAAGAGGCUGCUACUGUAUUGCAGGCCAGAGUCUACAGCCUGAGAAGAACCAAGACCACCCAUCACCAUCACCACCCCAAUCUGGCUAUCACCAUACAUUCUCUCCUCCAAAGCUGUUAUCCUCUGCCUCUAAGUGCUCUGACAUGGCCCAGCUGACCUGGUGUCACUUGGACCCUUCAGAAUUUGAAAUGAUUGAAUGUGAGAUUUGUGCGCAGUUGGCGUUCUAGAGUGGGAGACCACACCCGAGGAAGACCACAUUUAGAGGUCUGUGCUUUGACCAGUUUAUUGUUGAGGGAGUUUCCCCCCACCCCCCUAAAGUUUAAACAGCAUCCAAAAGGGGAUGUAUGCAUACUUUUUUUUUUUUUUUUUUUUUUUUUUUUUUUUUUUUUUUUUUUUUGCUGUUUGGAAAAAGUAGGAGUGAAAAUUGGAUGCUUAUAUAAAGAACUGAAGAAGUUCAGGUAAUAAAUAGUCUUAAGAAAAAUAUUCCAAAAGUAAGUUUCCUAAAAGCUUGAGAAAACUACAUACAAAACUACCAAGAUACCUGCAUAAAAAAUCAAAAUAAAACUGACGCUCACAGAAGGCUGAAGACUAGCUGGUAAUUGCACUCAGCAUUAAGCUGACAAUACUAGGCACUAAAAAGCAUGGUAAAUUAUUGGCUCAAACAACAACACCAUGCAGAAGUAGACCCAUAGAAAUAAGAGCUAGAAGGAGCUUUCGAAUUCUGGUUUUUAACUUUGUUCAACAUCUUAGCAAUGCUUUCUUGUUUGUUUGCUUGCUUUUAUGACAAGGUCUUACUAUGCAGCCUAGGCUGGCCUCAAACUUUUGAUCCUCCUGUAUCAAUUGUCUGAGUGCUAUGAUUUUAAGUGUAUACACCAUUCCUAGCAAAUUUAAAACUAUUUUCUCCUUUUUGUUGUUGUUGUUGUUUUUGGUUGGUUGGUUGGUUAAUUGGUUUUUGUUUGUUUUUUUUGAGGCAGGGUUUCUCUGUGUAGCCCUGGCUGUCCUGGAGCUCACUCUGUAGACCAAGCUGGUCUGGAACCCAGAGAUUCACUGCUAAAACCUAUUUUAAGAUAAAAUAAGUGAAAAAAUUUUAAAAAAGAUAAAACAAGUGAACUGAUAAAAAGAGGCCCACUAAAGAUGAAACUGAGCUCUUCUUUUUCCAAGAAGGAGGACAUAGAUGAAAAUAUCCUUUAUAUUUCCCUGUUAAAGAGUAUGCCACUACACCCAGUUACAUGAUCUUCUAACAUUAGAAACUUGUGAGGCAGAGGCAGACAGAUCUCUUAGUUCCAAGCCAGCCUGUGUGAGUUCCAGGACAGCCAGAGCUACAUAGAGACCUUGUCUCAAAAGCCACAAAGAACAUCAGGUAAUGAACAUUAAAUGGUAGUUUGUAUAGACACUGUAAAGGUGGGAGCCAGAGAACCUCCACCAUUGUUAGAGAAAAGAAAUUGGGGCCAGCAAGAUGGCUUGCCAGGUAAUGGUGCCUACCACUUAGCUCUGCCUAGAAGGAGAAAACCAGUUCCUGAAAAGAAAUGUGUGGACACUAUUAGGAAACAAACUACUAAGGAGUGGGAGGAAUAAAGGAAGAGGAAGUUGGGGAGGACAAGAGCUAGUAACGGAAUCUUCUUUAAGCUAAUCUUUAGGGCUGGGGGUAAAGGCACAUGCUGCCAAACCUGGUAACAUGAGUUUGAUCCCUGGGAUCCCGGUAGAAGGAACGAUGCAACUCCCAUAAAUUGUCCUCUGACCUCCCACACAUGCACCUUGGCUUAUGAGCACGCGCACUCGCGCGCACACACACACACACACACACACACACACACACACACACACACACACACACACUCAUCUAGAUCUCACAUCUUGCCCCAGCCUGCAGGGGUUCAGAGGAGACCUGGGAGGGGGAGAAAGAGUGGGGGACAGGAGGCAUAAAGAAGGAGAACAAGUCUAUGGUCUGAUCAAGCUCUCAAAUUUUAUUUUGAUACAGUGGCUUAUAAAGACAAGAAGGCGGGAAGGCCAUGUAGGGCCCAAAAUCAAUUUCACUACUAUCAUUACCCUCUCUAUAGCCUGAAACCAUAGAUUGCAAGUGUGUUGAUAAGAACAUUCCCGAAACAUGACAGAGGGUGUGUAAGCAGGCUUGGCUUCCGACAACAUCUCACACAGGAGAGAAUAUUUAUUUAUUUAUUAUUCUCUCAUAUAUUACAUCCUGACAGAAGUUUUACUCUCUUCCCAGGCCUUUCCACAAAUUCCCCUCUCCCUCAGAUCCACUUCAGAAAAGGGUAGGCCUUCCAGGAGUACCAACCAAACAUGGCAUAACAAUCUGCAGUAUGACUUGACCCAUAUCCUCAUAUCAAUGCUGAACUAGGCAACCAGGUAGGAGGAAAAAGGUCCCGGAAGCAGGCAAAAGAGUUGGAGAUACCCCACCGCCACUGUUAGAAGCCCCACAAGAGCACCAAGCUACCUGAGCAUAACAUAUAUGCAGAGGGCACAUAUAGGCUCCCUGAUUGUCAUUCAGUCUCUGAGGACCCAUGUUCUUGCGAUGUCCUUGAACCCUCUGACAACUCCAAUCCUUUCUCCCCCUCUUCCAAGGGAUUCCCUUAGCUCCACCUAAUGUGUGGCCGUGUGUCUUGGCAUCUGCCAGAGGCAGCCUCUGUGGUGAUGAUUACCCCAGGUCCCUGCCUAGAGUAUAGGAAAUUAUCGUUAGGUAUCAUUUCAUUGAUUCAGUUUAUUUGUUUGUUUAUUCCCAAUCUUGUUUGGUUCUUUCCUAGGUCUCUGGGCUAUCUAGCCUCUGGUUGCUGGUAGCGUCAGAUGAAAUGGGUCGCAAGUUGGCCAAUCAUUGGUUGGCCACUCCCACAAGUUCUGUGCCACCUUUACUCCAGCAAAUCUUGCAGGCAAGACAAAUUGUAGGUAGAAGGUUAUGGCUGGGUUGGUGUCUCUGUCCCUCCACUGGGAGUCUUGCCUGGUUACAGAAAUUGGGAGUCUUUACUAUGGCCACCCCUGUAGAUUCCAGGGAGUUUCCAUUGCAUUACGUUUCUACUUCACCCCAGAAAUAACUACCAAUUCCAGCCUUUCCUAGUACUCUCCUUGAAAUCUAUUCUGUUUCCUUUUCCCAGAGAGAUCCAAGCAUCCCACCUUGAUCACUCCUUGUUAUAUAGCCUCUCUGAGUUUGUGGACUUGUAUUAUGAUUAUUCUUUAUAGCUAAUGUCCACUUAUAAGUGAAUAUAUACCAUGUUUUUCUUUCUGGGCCUGGGUCACCUCACUCAGGAUGAUUUUUUCCUAGUUCCAUCCAUUUGCCUGAACACUUUUAUAAUGUCAUUUUUAACAGCUGAGUAAUACUCUAUUGUGUACCACAUUUUCCACAUUUUCUUUAUCCGUUCUUCAGUUGAGGGAUAGCUAGGUUGUUCCCAGUUUCUGGCUUGUAGAAUGAUGCAAACAGAUCUAUAUCUAUCACCCUGCAGCAAACGAAAGUCCAAUUGAAUCUAAGACUUGAACGUAAAAUCAGAUUCAUUAAACCUUAUAGACUAGAAAGUGGGGAUUAGCAUUGAGCACACUGGCAUAGGAGACAACUUCCUGAACAGAACACCCAUGGCUCAGGCACUAAGAUCAACAAUAAUAAAUGGGAUCUCAGGAAACUGAAACGAUUACAUAAGGCAAAGUACACUGUCAAUAAGACAAAAUGGCAGCCUACAAAAUGGGAAAGAUUUUCUUCUCACCAACUUCACUUCUGGCAGAGGGCUACUCAAGAAAUGAGACAAACAAUAAUCCAAUUAAAAAAUGGGAUAUAGCCAGGAGCGGUGCUGCCCGCCUUUAAGCCCAGCACUUAGGAGGCACAAGAAGCUGGAACUUCUGUGACCAACCUGAUCUACAGACUGAGGUCUACCACAGUCAAGGCUACACCUGAUAGAAACCCUAUCUCAAAAAACAAGCAACCAAAAAAUAAAAAAUGGAGCACAGAUCUAAACAGAAUUAAUAUCAGAGGAAUGGCUUAGAAGCACUUAAAGAAAUGUUCAACAUUCUUAGCCAUCAGGGAAAUGCAAAUCAGAACAACUUUGAGAUUCCGUCUUACAACUGUCCGAAUGGCUAAGAUAAAAAAAACCACAAGGGACAGCUCAUGCUGGGGAAGAUGUGGAGCUAGGGGACCACUCCCCCAUUGCUGAUGGGAACACACAGCCCCCUUGGAAAUCCAUAUGUUGGUUUCUCAGAAAAUGGGACUCAAUCUACCUCAAGACCCAGCUAUACCACUCUUGGGCAUAUACCCAAAAGGUAUUCCAUCCUCUCACAAAGACUAUGUUACCUAUGUUAAUAGCAAUUUUUGUUUGUUUAUUUCCUUUUGUUUUUGCUAUUGCUUUUUGUUUUUUUUGUUGUUGUUUUGGGGUUUUUUGGGGUUUUUUGUUUUUGGUUUUGGAUUUUUGGUUUUUUUUGUUUGUUUGUUUUUUGGGUUUUUUUUUGCUUUUUUGUUUUUCAAGACUGGUUCCUCUAUAUAAAGGAUUGGCUGUCCUUGGCCUUUCUCUGUAGAACAGGCUGGCCUCAAACUCAGAGAUCUGCCUGCCUCUGCCUCCUUAGUGCCGGUAUUAAAGGUGUGUACCACCGCUGCCUGGUUGAGGUAUUUUCCUUAAUUAAAUCAUUUGAAGUGAGAAGACCCACUUGUCAUCUGGAUCUUUGAUGUGAAAAGAUAAACCUUUAAUUCAGAUCAUUUGAAGUGGGAUGAUCCACCUUUAGUCUGGGCCACACCAUCUGGGAAAAGGACAUGGAAAAAGAAACUCUUUGCCUACUUGUUCUCACCCUGGUUAGCAAGUCCAUUCUUUCUCUGGCAUUAGAGUCUACUUUUUCUUUUUUUCUUUUUUUCCCGGAGCUGAGGACCGAACCCAAGGCCUUGCAGGGCCUUGAGCUUGCUAGGCAAGCGCUCUACCACUGAGCUAAAUCCCCAACACCGAGUCUACUUUUUCUGAAGUCCAGCAUAUAACGAAGACCAGCUGGCACAUCCAGCCCCGUGGACUAAACAACUACUGGUUGGAAUAGAGGCAUAUGAGAUUGAGACACUCAUACAUCUUUCAAGAGUCAGAAAGCUCACAAAAUUAUGAGAGUCAUGAAACUCCUUCUCAAAGUUAUAUAAACAGUAAGCAAUUUGGGGUUGGGCCUGUGUGUUCAGCAAGGAGAUCCAAGGAUACAUCUUUUUAUGUUAUCCCAGAUCCUGGGGUGGGCUUUUCAGUGGGCUUUUGUGUGAUGGGUUGGCCCAAUACUGCUGGUGUCCUAAUGCUAAAUACUGAUUUCUCGCACUGGUUGCCUGGAAGGAGCAGACCAUCAUAUACCUUCUCCUUUUUCCUAUAAAAGUCUAGAGCCUGUGAUUGGACAGUUGUGGGAGAAAGAUAGGACUGGAGGCUUGAACGAGGGGUGAGGUGGGGGUGGGAGUUGUUGCAGGAAGAGGGAGAAAGAGAAACACAGAGAAGAAGGAGUAGGAAGAAGAGGAAUUGCCAUGCAUCAGAAUGGCAUGAGCAGGACAAACAACAAGGAACAAGGGGCUUCAUAGCUGAAGAAUAAUGGGUUAGUAUAUCCCUAGAGCUAUCUGCCCAAUCUAGGCAUAUGGCUUACAAGUAAGAUAUCUGGGCUGUGUUUCUUUUUUUUUUUUCUAAUCUUUAUUAAUUUGAGUAUUUCUUAUUUACAUUUCCAUUGUUAUUCCCCUUCCCGGUUUCCAGGCCAACAUCCCCCUAGCCCCUCUCCCUCCCCUCCUGUAUAGGUGUUCCCCUCCCCACACACCCCCCAUUGCCGCCCUCCCCCCAACAAUCUCGUUCACUGGGGGUUCAGUCUUGGCAGGACCCAGGGCUUCCCCUUCCACUGGUGCUCUUACUAGGAUAUUCAUUGCUACCUAUGAGGUCAGAGUCCAGGGUCAGUCCAUGUAUAGUCUUUAGGUAGUGGCUUAGUCCCUGGAAGCUCUGGUUGGUUGGCAUUGUUGUUCAUAUGGGGUCUCGAGCCCCUUCAAGCUCUUCCAGUUCUUUCUCUGAUUCCUUCAACUGGGCUCCCGUUCUCAGUUCAGUGGUUUGCUGCUGGCAUUCGCCUCUGUAUUUGCUGUAUUCUGGCUGUGUCUCUCAGGAGAGAUCUACAUCUAGCUCCUGUCGGCCUGCACUUCUUUGCUUCAUCCAUCUUGUCUAAUUGGGUGGCUGUAUAUGUAUGGGCCACAUGUGGGGCAGGCUCUGAAUGGGUGUUCCUUCUGCCUGUUCUAAACUUUGCCUCCCUAUUCUCUGCCAAGGGUAUUCUUGUUCCCCUCUUAAAGAAGGAGUGAAAUAUUCGCAUUUUGGUCAUCCUUCUUGAGUUUUAUGUGUUCUGUGCAUCUAGGGUAAUUCAAGCAUUUGGGCUGUGUUUCUUAUUAGGAUUGUAAAUUCCAACAACACCUUUGAGUUACCCAUGCUCCUGUAACUAACCCCUCACAUGUACUCUUGUAAAUAACAUCAAUAAACUGAUUGCCAAUCAA